UAGGAUUACGAAGGGACCCAUGAUGAGUAUUGCUAGGACCAGAGGUCAUGAAUCCAUUGCCGACCUCUCCAGUGGUGAAACGACGUUCAUCCAUCUUGUUGCUUUCGAUGCUACCAAAGGGCGUCUGCUUUCCUUCACACGUGGCUUUGCCGGGCCUUCAUCACAAGCUCAAGAUGUUGAGAGACGUCCAAUAACUCGACAUCGUCCCCUCUCACAUAUCUGAUACCUUUCGUCUCCCACCACCUCUCCGUAUGGACAAUUCAAAGGAUUAAUGGCGACGUUUGCAGUGGCCUCAAAUUUCUAUUUCAACUGUUCGUACUUUAUCCUUACAGAAAACAGCAGCAUCUUUACAAAGGACGAAAGGAUUAGGCAUUAGUCUUUCUCUGCCAACAAAGAAAGGGUCCCAAGUGACACAUCUCCGAUUCAUUCUACUCCUUUGGCAAGAUGUAGGCGGCGUUCGUCCUCUUUGUUAUGUAUGUCUAUGGACACAAAAAGUAAUCGAUGCUCACCUAAGAAACACUCAUAUGACAUGUUUAGCUUGCCUACGUAACUUAGCCGUCGAGGUUUCGGGUGAUGAAUGCAAAUUAAUGGUCAAGUAUGGGGGGAGCUGUUUGAUCAUAGAUAGCUUUUCUGUUUUGAGGUCUUUGUAUUAGCAACUUAAUUAUAGGGAUAUAUAUAACUGUGUUGGAACAAAUGGUGGAUUGGUACUUUAAUA